UUACGGCCAUAUCACGUUGAAACACACGUUCCCGUACAAUUAGCGAAGUUAAGCAAUGUCGAGCCUGGACAGUACGUAAAAGGGUAACCGCUUGGGAGUACCAAGUGCU